rnacentral:rRNA from 1 species
AGAGGCCUCAAGCGUUAGGCGGAAUCACUGGGCUUAAAGCGUGUGUAGGCGGACGCCUAAGUGUCUUGUGAAAUCCCCCGGCUCACCCGGGGAACUGCUGGGCAUACUGGGCGUCUUGGGCCAACUAGGGGCAACUGGAACAAGCGGUGGAGCGGUGAAAUGCGUAGAUAUCGCUUGGAACGCCGAAGGUGAAAACAGGUUGCUGGGGUUGUGCCGACGCUGAGACACGAAAGCCAGGGGAGCAAACGGGAUUAGAUACCCCGGUAGUCCUGGCCCUAAACGAUGUCCACUAGAUUGCGGCGGGUUUGACCCCGUCGCGGUCGAAGCAAAAGUGUUAAGUGGACCGCCUGGGAAGUACGGUCGCAAGGCUA